GACGAACGCUGGCGGCGUGCCUAAUACAUGCAAGUAGAACGCUGAAGGAGGAGCUUGCUUCUCUGGAUGAGUUGCGAACGGGUGAGUAACGCGUAGGUAACCUGCCUGGUAGCGGGGGAUAACUAUUGGAAACGAUAGCUAAUACCGCAUAAGAGUAGAUGUCGCAUGACAUUUGCUUAAAAGGUGCAAUUGCAUCACUACCAGAUGGACCUGCGUUGUAUUAGCUAGUUGGUGAGGUAACGGCUCACCAAGGCAACGAUACAUAGCCGACCCGAGAGGGUGAUCGGCCACACUGGGACUGAGACACGGCCCAGACUCCUACGGGAGGCAGCAGUAGGGAAUCUUCGGCAAUGGACGGAAGUCUGACCGAGCAACGCCGCGUGAGUGAAGAAGGUUUUCGGAUCGUAAAGCUCUGUUGUAAGAGAAGAACGAGUGUGAGAGUGGAAAGUUCACACUGUGACGGUAUCUUACCAGAAAGAGACGGCUAACUACGUG
rnacentral:rRNA from 1 species